CCUACGGGUGGCAGCAGUCGAGAAUCAUUCACAAUGGGGGAAACCCUGAUGGUGCGACGCCGCGUGGGGGAAUGAAGGUCUUCGGAUUGUAAACCCCUGUCAUGUGGGAGCAAAUUAAAAAGAUAGUACCACAAGAGGAAGAGCCGGCUAACUCUGUGCCAGCAGCCGCGGUAAUACAGAGGUGUCAAGCGUUGUUCGGAAUCACUGGGCGUAAAGCGUGCGUAGGCUGUUUCGUAAGUCGUGUGUGAAAGGCGCGGGCUCAACCCGCGGACGGCACCUGAUACUGCGAGACUAGAGUAAGGGAGGGGGAACCGGAAUUCGCGGUGUAGCAGUGAAAUGCGUAGAUAUCGAGAGGAACACUCGUGGCGAAGGCGGGUUCCUGGACAUUAACUGACGCUGAGGCACGAAGGCCAGGGGAGCGAAAGGGAUUAGAUACCCCAGUAGUC
rnacentral:rRNA from 1 species